GUCCGGGUGGCUCAGUGGGUUGAGCGUCCGACUUCAGCUCAGGUCAUGAUCUCUUGGUUUGUGAGUUCAAGCCCCAUGUCGGACU
rnacentral:tRNA from 1 species